AUGUUCACAAGAAUAAAUUACAUAAUUUUGCUAGACUUUACAUUAUUACUAGCAUUUGCAAAGUUUUACUUUUCAAAAACUGGAAGUAAGAUCUUUACAGGAUUUAUUAAGCACUGGGAUGAUUUGGACUCACUUGAUACAUAUAGUUGGGGUCUUGUUGUAUAUAACUUUGUGGUUUCUAGUUUAUGUGAGUCUUUAGUUGUGUUGAAAAAAGGAAAAAACAAGUCACAAAGACAUUUAAAUGGUGUGUUGUCGUAUAACAGGUAUAUAGAUUAUAUAACUGUUUAG